CCUACGGGAGGCAGCAGUGGGGAAUAUUGCACAAUGGGGGAAACCCUGAUGCAGCGACGCCGCGUGAGUGAAGAAGUAUCUCGGUACGUAAAGCUCUAUCAGCAGGGAAGAAAAUGACGGUACCUGACUAAGAAGCCCCGGCUAACUACGUGCCAGCAGCCGCGGUAAUACGGAGGGGGCAAGCGUUAUCCGGAAUUACUGGGGGUAAAGGGAGCGUAGACGGCAGCACAAGUCUGGAGUGAAAUCCCGGGGCUUAACCCCGGAACUGCUUUGGAAACUGGGCGGCUGGAGUGCAGGAGAGGUAAGCGGAAUGCCUGGUGUAGCGGUGAAAUGCGUAGAUAUUAGGAGGAACACCGGUGGCGAAGGCGGCUUACUGGACUGUAACUGACGUUGAGGCUCGAAAGCGUGGGGAGCAAACAGGAUUAGAUACCCCAGUAGUC
rnacentral:rRNA from 1 species